CAUCGAUGAAGAACGCAGCGAAAUGCGAUAAGUAAUGUGAAUUGCAGAAUUCAGUGAAUCAUCGAAUCUUUGAACGCACAUUGCGCCCGCCAGUAUUCUGGCGGGCAUGCCUGUUCGAGCGUCAUUUCAACCCUCAAGCCCUGCUUGGUGUUGGGG
rnacentral:rRNA from 1 species